GAUGAACGCUGGCGGCGUGCCUAAUACAUGCAAGUCGAGCGAACGGACGAGAAGCUUGCUUCUCUGAUGUUAGCGGCGGACGGGUGAGUAACACGUGGAUAACCUACCUAUAAGACUGGGAUAACUUCGGGAAACCGGAGCUAAUACCGGAUAAUAUUUUGAACCGCAUGGUUCAAAAGUGAAAGACGGUCUUGCUGUCACUUAUAGAUGGAUCCGCGCUGCAUUAGCUAGUUGGUAAGGUAACGGCUUACCAAGGCAACGAUGCAUAGCCGACCUGAGAGGGUGAUCGGCCACACUGGAACUGAGACACGGUCCAGACUCCUACGGGAGGCAGCAGUAGGGAAUCUUCCGCAAUGGGCGAAAGCCUGACGGAGCAACGCCGCGUGAGUGAUGAAGGUCUUCGGAUCGUAAAACUCUGUUAUUAGGGAAGAACAUAUGUGUAAGUAACUGUGCACAUCUUGACGGUACCUAAUCAGAAAGCCACGGCUAACUACGUGCCAGCAGCCGCGGUAAUACGUAGGUGGCAAGCGUUAUCCGGAAUUAUUGGGCGUAAAGCGCGCGUAGGCGGUUUUUUAAGUCUGAUGUGAAAGCCCACGGCUCAACCCGUGGAGGGUCAUUGGAAACUGGAAAACUUGAGUGCAGAAGAGGAAAGUGGAAUUCCAUGUGUAGCGGUGAAAUGCGCAGAGAUAUGGAGGAACACCAGUGGCGAAGGCGACUUUCUGGUCUGUAACUGACGCUGAUGUGCGAAAGCGUGGGGAUCAAACAGGAUUAGAUACCCUGGUAGUCCACGCCGUAAACGAUGAGUGCUAAGUGUUAGGGGGUUUCCGCCCCUUAGUGCUGCAGCUAACGCAUUAAGCACUCCGCCUGGGGAGUACGACCGCAAGGUUGAAACUCAAGGGAAUUGACGGGGACCCGCACAAGCGGUGGAGCAUGUGGUUUAAUUCGAAGCAACGCGAAGAACCUUACCAAAUCUUGACAUCCUUUGACAACUCUAGAGAUAGAGCUUUCCCCUUCGGGGGACAAAGUGACAGGUGGUGCAUGGUUGUCGUCAGCUCGUGUCGUGAGAUGUUGGGUUAAGUCCCGCAACGAGCGCAACCCUUAAGCUUAGUUGCCAUCAUUAAGUUGGGCACUCUAAGUUGACUGCCGGUGACAAACCGGAGGAAGGUGGGGAUGACGUCAAAUCAUCAUGCCCCUUAUGAUUUGGGCUACACACGUGCUACAAUGGACAAUACAAAGGGCAGCGAAACCGCGAGGUCAAGCAAAUCCCAUAAAGUUGUUCUCAGUUCGGAUUGUAGUCUGCAACUCGACUACAUGAAGCUGGAAUCGCUAGUAAUCGUNGAUCNGCCUGCUCCGGUGAAAGCGUUCCCGGGUCU
rnacentral:rRNA from 1 species